rnacentral:rRNA from 1 species
ACGUAGGAGACGAGCGUUGUCCGGAGUUACUGGGCGUAAAGGGUGCGCAGGCGGCCUGGCGCGUCGCGAGUGAAAUCUCCCGGCUCAACUGGGAGGGUGGUCGCGAGACGGCUGGGCUUGAGGCUCGGAGAGGGGCGUGGAAUUCCGGGUGGAGCGGUGAAAUGCAUAGAGAUCCGGAGGAACACCGACGGCGUAGGCAGCGCCCUAGACGAGACCUGACGCUGAGGCACGAAAGCGCGGGGAGCGAACAGGAUUAGAUACCCUGGUAGUCCGCGCCGUAAACGAUGUCCACCAGGUGUUGGGGGUAUCGACCCCUCCAGCGCCGCAGCUAACGUGAUGAGUGGACCGCCUGGGGAGUACGGCCGCAAGGUUA